GCUUCGAUAGCUCAGUUGGGAGAGCGUCAGACUGAAGAUCUGAAGGUCCCUCGUUCGAUCCGGGGUCGAAGCG
rnacentral:tRNA from 1 species